rnacentral:rRNA from 1 species
GAUGAACGCUAGCGGGAGGCCUAACACAUGCAAGCCGAGCGGUAUUUGUUCUUCGGAACAGAGAGAGCGGCGCACGGGUGCGGAACACGUGUGCAACCUGCCUUUAUCUGGGGGAUAGCCUUUCGAAAGGAAGAUUAAUACCCCAUAAUAUAUUGAGUGGCAUCACUUGAUAUUGAAAACUCCGGUGGAUAGAGAUGGGCACGCGCAAGAUUAGAUAGUUGGUGAGGUAACGGCUCACCAAGUCAAUGAUCUUUAGGGGGCCUGAGAGGGUGAUCCCCCACACUGGUACUGAGACACGGACCAGACUCCUACGGGAGGCAGCAGUGAGGAAGAUUGGACAAUGGGUUAGCGCCUGAUCCAGCCAUCCCGCGUGAAGGACGACGGCCCUAUGGGUUGUAAACUUCUUUUGUAUAGGGAUAAACCUACUCUCGUGAGAGUAGCUGAAGGUACUAUACGAAUAAGCACCGGCUAACUCCGUG